GCAUGCGAGUCUUGGGGGUGGGAAACCCAUCGGCGCAAUGAAAGUGAAGGUAGAUGUUGGUCUACUGAGGCAAGAGCCUCUCAGGAGGCACAUUGUCGACCGAUCCCAGGCUACGCUGUAGUGGGAUUUGAGUGAGAGCGUGCCUGUUGCGACCCGAAAGAUGGUGAACUAUGCCUGAAUAGGGCGAAGCCAGAGGAAACUCUGGUGGAAGCUCGUAGCGAUUCUGACGUGCAAAUCGAUCGUCAAAUUUGGGUAUAGGGGCGAAAGACUAAUCGAACCAUCUAGUAGCUGGUUCCCUCCGAAGUUUCCCUCAGGAUAGCUGGAGCCCGGUGCAGUUUUAUCAGGUAAAGCGAAUGAUUAGAGGUCUUGGGGUUGAAACAACCUCAACCUAUUCUCAAACUUUAAAUGGGUAAGAAGCUCGGCUUGCUUAAUUGAAGUCGGGCCCGGAAUGCCGGGGCUCCUAGUGGGCCAUUUUUGGUAAGCAGAACUGGCGAUGCGGGAUGCACCGAACGCUGGGUUAAGGUGCCCGAGUCGACGCUCAUCAAAAUACCAUGAAAGGU
rnacentral:rRNA from 1 species